rnacentral:rRNA from 1 species
GAUGAACGCUAGCGGCAGGCCUAAUACAUGCAAGUCGAACGGUGUAGCAAUACACAGUGGCGCACGGGUGCGUAACACGUAUGCAACCUACCUUACAUUGGGGGAUAGCCUUUCGAAAGGGAGAUUAAUACCGCAUAAGACAGUAACUAGGCAUCUAGUAGCUGUUAAAGAUUUAUCGAUGUAAGCUGGGCAUGCGUCCAAUUAGUUAGUUGGUGAGGUAACGGCUCACCAAGACGAUGAUUGGUAGGGGAACUGAGAGGUCAAUCCCCCACACUGGCACUGAGAGACGGGCCAGACUCCUACGGGAGGCAGCAGUAGGGAAUAUUGGGCAAUGGGCGCAAGCCUGACCCAGCCAUGCCGCGUGCAGGAAGAAGGCGUUAUGCGUUGUAAACUGCUUUUAUACAGGAAGAAACGACCCUUGCGAGGGGCAUUGACGGUACUGUAUGAAUAAGCACCGGCUAACUCCGUGCCAGCCGCCGCGGUAAAAC